CAGCCGCCGCGGGAAUACAGAGGGUGCGAGCGUUAAUCGGAUUUACUGGGCGUAAAGCGUGCGUAGGCGGCUUCUUAAGUCGGAUGUGAAAUCCCUGAGCUUAACUUAGGAAUUGCAUUCGAUACUGGGAAGCUAGAGUAUGGGAGAGGAUGGUAGAAUUCCAGGUGUAGCGGUGAAAUGCGUAGAGAUCUGGAGGAAUACCGAUGGCGAAGGCAGCCAUCUGGCCUAAUACUGACGCUGAGGUACGAAAGCAUGGGGAGCAAACAGGAUUAGAGACCCGUGUAGUCCCUGUCUCUUAUAU
rnacentral:rRNA from 1 species